UGGUGGGUAGUUUGACUGGGGCGGUCUCCUCCUAAAGAGUAACGGAGGAGCACGAAGGUUGGCUAAUCCUGGUCGGACAUCAGGAGGUUAGUGCAAUGGCAUAAGCCAGCUUGACUGCGAGCGUGACGGCGCGAGCAGGUGCGAAAGCAGGUCAUAGUGAUCCGGUGGUUCUGAAUGGAAGGGCCAUCGCUCAACGGAUAAAAGGUACUCCGGGGAUAACAGGCUGAUACCGCCCAAGAGUUCAUAUCGACGGCGGUGUUUGGCACCUCGAUGUCGGCUCAUCACAUCCUGGGGCUGAAGUAGGUCCCAAGGGUAUGGCUGUUCGCCAUUUAAAGUGGUACGCGAGCUGGGUUUAGAACGUCGUGAGACAGUUCGGUCCCUAUCUGCCGUGGGCGCUGGAGAACUGAGGGGGGCUGCUCCUAGUACGAGAGGACCGGAGUGGACGCAUCACUGGUGUUCGGGUUGUCAUGCCAAUGGCACUGC
rnacentral:rRNA from 3 species